rnacentral:rRNA from 1 species
GAUGAACGCUGGCGGCGUGCCUAAUACAUGCAAGUCGAGCGAACAGACGAGGAGCUUGCUCCUCUGACGUUAGCGGCGGACGGGUGAGUAACACGUGGAUAACCUACCUAUAAGACUGGGAUAACUUCGGGAAACCGGAGCUAAUACCGGAUAAUAUAUUGAACCGCAUGGUUCAAUAGUGAAAGACGGUUUUGCUGUCACUUAUAGAUGGAUCCGCGCCGCAUUAGCUAGUUGGUAAGGUAACGGCUUACCAAGGCAACGAUGCGUAGCCGGCCUGAGAGGGUGAUCGGCCACACUGGAACUGAGACACGGUCCAGACUCCUACGGGAGGCAGCAGUAGGGGAUCUUCCGCAAUGGGCGAAAGCCUGACGGAGCAACGCCGCGUGAGUGAUGAAGGUCUUCGGAUCGUAAAACUCUGUUAUUAGGGAAGAACAAAUGUGUAAGUAACUAUGCACGUCUUGACGGUACCUAAUCAGAAAGCCACGGCUAACUACGUG